rnacentral:rRNA from 1 species
CGAUCGGUAGCCGGACUGAGAGGUUGAACGGCCACAUUGGGACUGAGACACGGCCCAGACUCCUACGGGAGGCAGCAGUGGGGGAUAUUGCACAAUGGGGGAAACCCUGAUGCAGCGACGCCGCGUGUGGGAAGACGGUCUUCUGGAUUGUAAACCACUGUCCCCAGGGACGAAAAUGACGGUACCUGGGGAGGAAGCUCCGGCUAACUACGUGCCAGCAGCCGCGGUAAUACGUAGGGAGCAAGCGUUGUCCGGAAUUACUGGGUGUAAAGGGAGCGUAGGCGGGGAUGCAAGUUGGGUGUCAAAACUACCGGCUCAACCGAUAGUCGCACUCAAAACUGCAGCUCUUGAGUGAAGUAGAGGCAGGCGGAAUUCCUAGUGUAGCGGUGAAAUGCGUAGAUAUUAGGAGGAACACCAGUGGCGAAGGCGGCCUGCUGGGCUUUUACUGACGCUGAGGCUCGAAAGUGUGGGGAGCAAACAGGAUUAGAUACCCUGGUAGUCCACACCGUAAACGAUGAUUACUAGGUGUGGGGGGUCUGACCCCCUCC